rnacentral:lncRNA from 1 species
CAGGACCAGCCUGACACUGAUUUACCAAUUUUGCAUAUUAGAAUCCUUUUAAACCUGCUGAUUUUGCAUAGACAGGAAUCACAGGAUUCUGUUUCUGAGAGCUCAAGAUCAAAAAUAAAAAUCACGUGGACUGGGAGAAGGAACUUGUAAUUUGAGGUCUUUUGUUUUUUAAACAAACCAAGCCUGCAGACCUCAGUAUUUUAUAAUCCACUUCCAUGCUCAAGAAUUUUGUUCUGAACUUAGGCUUUAGGACAUUGCCCUGUGAGCUUCUACUUCAAAUCUAGUUAUUGCCUAACCUACAUAUUUCUUUCUACGCACAGAUUUCACCGGUGAGAAUAGAAGAUAUAAACCACAGAAGACUGAGAAUUUAAAUCUCAAAUUACCAUGUAUUUUGAGAUGCAGUUUGGUGGAAAGGGUCUUUCCAAAGCAGGGUGAAAGAAGACUUGUCUGACUUAUGUGAUGCCAAUAUUUGACCUUGUACUAUUUGUACCAGGUUGUUCCAUUGGAACUACUCUAAACUUCUCUAAUCUCUCACCUCCCUCAUCUGGACACUCCUCUCCUUCCCACGUAGCCUUAUUUCCAAACAAUCUCUUUCUUCAUAUGCUUCCUGUCCAAAAACUUCUUCAACCAAGCCCAGGAGAACAGAAUUCUCAAGAGCUACAGAAGUAUUGCAAGAGAGGCGAGAAAGAUGCGCUCCCACCAAGGCCUCAGUCACUGAAAAAUGAACCCAAAGAGGAAAGACAGCCCAAGGCAACCCAGCCACAUCCUGCUGCAGAGGAGAGCAGAGAAGAUGGCAAGAGAAAAAACCAUUUCCAGCCACCCAAGAGCUGGCAACACAAAGUGCAGGAGCAAGAGGUGGACCACAUUGAAUGGCUCCAUUUUGCUGCUGGGACUUGCCACAGGGAAAGAUUUAUUUGCAAAAGAGGUGACCAUGCAGUCAGGAAGUCACUACUGUGAAGACAAUAGGUAUUGAACACGGUGGUCUAGGGGAGGGACAAAUGCUCUGUAUCUGUAGGUAUUCAUGUCUCCCACCAUUGCUUCUAGUCUGUUUUCUGCUGUUAGUGCUGUUUGUGGUAAUAGUUCUUAAGUUUUACUAUACUGUAUUUUCAUUUGCUUGUAAGUUAAAGAAGGAUUUAGCAUGAUCCAUUGAAAAGACGUCUGAAAGAAAUAGAAUGCAGAUGUCUAACCUGUUCCCUGAAAGUUGUAAUGAAGUAGCCAAAGAACAAGACCAGAGAGAAGAAAUACUUUGGCUUCAAAGAGAGUUUGAGAAGGUUCUUAAUUUUUGAGG